rnacentral:rRNA from 1 species
AUUGAACGCUGGCGGCAGGACUAACACAUGCAAGUCGAACGAGUGGCGGACGGGUGAGUAAUGUAUGGGAAACUGCAUGAUGGAAGGGGAUAACUACUGGAAACGGUAGCUAAUACCGCAUACCAUCAGAUGUGGCCAGAUGGGAUUAGCUAGUUGGUGGGGUAACGGCUCACCAAGGCGACGAUCCCUAGGUGGUCUGAGAGGAUGACCACCCACAGUGGAACUGAGACACGGUCCGGACUCCUACGGGAGGCAGCAGUGGGGAAUAUUGCAUGAUGGGCGCAAGCCUGAUGCAGCCAUGCGGCGUGUAUGAAGAAGGCCUUCGGGUUGUAAAGUACUGUCAGCGGGGAGGCGUUACCCGCAGAAGAAGCACCGGCUAACUCCGUGCCAGCCGCCGCGGUAAUUC